AUUGAACGCUGGCGGCAUGCUUUACACAUGCAAGUCGAACGGUAACAGGCCGCCAGGUGCUGACGAGUGGCGAACGGUUGAGUAAUGCAUCGGAACGUGCCCAGUCCUGGGGGAUAACUACUCGAAAGAGUAGCUAAUACCGCAUACGAUCUAUGGAUGACAUCGGGGGACCGUAAGGCCUCGCGCGAUUGGAGCGGCCGAUGUCAGAUUAGGUAGUUGGUGGGGUAAAGGCUCACCAAGCCAACGAUCUGUAGCUGGUCUGAGAGGACGACCAGCCACACUGGGACUGAGACACGGCCCAGACUCCUACGGGAGGCAGCAGUGGGGAAUUUUGGACAAUGGGCGCAAGCCUGAUCCAGCAAUGCCGCGUGCAGGAAGAAGGCCUUCGGGUUGUAAACUGCUUUUGUACGGAACGAAACGGCUCUGGUUAAUACCCGGGGCUAAUGACGGUACCGUAAGAAUAAGCACCGGCUAACUACGUG
rnacentral:rRNA from 1 species